CCAUUCUGCAUUCUGGAAGGACCUUCGACUUUCCUUGCAGGCUGUCUGUUAAGUUGGAAAGGACACUUGACAAGCCUCAUGACCCAAAUGCAAACAAGCAAAACCUCCACAAGUACAGCACACUGGAGCAGCAAAAAGGAGCAACUUCUUUUUUGAAGAGUGUGAUUUGCCAGCUAAGUGGUGCUUGGUGCAACAAACCAUUCCCGACCCUGGCCUGGCUUUUUGGAAUGGAUCACCAUCAGGAAAGAAACCUGGAAUAAUCUGUCACACGAGGUAUUUAUUACAGUCAAGGGAAAUGCUACGGACUCUGGCAGAAAGCCUGCUGAGCAGAUAAGAAGAAUCUGAUCUCAUCUGGAGAAAAGGAAGAGCGUAAAGAAGAUUUAAGGUCUGGCCUGGCCAGAGGGAGGAGAGAGAGCAGGAAGAUGCAACAGAAAAAGGAAGGCCCUGACAGGAGGGGCCCCGUGUAUCCUCACUUUGCAGCCUUAUUUGGUUAGAAGCCAUUUUCUUUUUCAGCUUCACUUCCCCCAGGAGGGGCGGUGUGUGAACUACGGCUGCCACCUGUUUGGGUAAUAAAAUGUUCCUGGGACCCAUCGCACUUCUUCACAUACUGUCUCAGGCUGCUUUUGUGAUGCAAGGGCAGAGAGCUUUGUCAGGGACUGUCAGCCCACAAAGCCUAGAAUGUUUACUAUACGGCCCUAAGCAGAAGGCUUGCCAACGUCUGCCCUGCAGCAACAUGCAGGACAAGUGCUUCAUACACAGGAGGCAUUCGACAGUUUAAAAAAAAUUAUAUUUGCUUUUACUUCUAUAUAAUGUUUAAGGGAAUAAUAAUACAACACAGAUUUUUAAAAAACUAGCCACCAAGGACCACACACUGUAUGAUUCUAUGUGUAUGAACUGUCCAGAACAGGUACUCUAAACAGGUAGGAAAUGGAUUAGUAGUUGCCUGGGACUGGCGGAAGGAAGGACAGAGGGGAAAAAAGGUGACUGAAGUUUUUAUUUGGGGUUGAUGAAAAUGUUUUAAAAUUGAUGAUGGGGAUGGAUGCACAGCUUUGUAAAUACACUAAAAAUCACUGAAUUGUGUACUUUUGACAGAUGAAUUGUACAGUAUGUGAAUUAUAUCCCAAUAAAGCUGUUAUUAAAAAAAAA